GUCCCUUUCAUCCAAUGGUUAGGACAUCAUCUUUUCAUGUCGAAUAUAUGGGUUCAAUUCCCGUAAGGGAUA
rnacentral:tRNA from 1 species